GUCCGAUUAGAUAGUUGGUGAGGUAAUGGCCCACCAAGGCAACGAUCGGUAGCCGGACUGAGAGGUUGAACGGCCACAUUGGGACUGAGACACGGCCCAGACUCCUACGGGAGGCAGCAGUGGGGAAUAUUGCACAAUGGGGGAAACCCUGAUGCAGCGACGCCGCGUGGAGGAAGAAGGUCUUCGGAUUGUAAACUCCUGUUGUUGAGGAAGAUAAUGACGGUACUCAACAAGGAAGUGACGGCUAACUACGUGCCAGCAGCCGCGGUAAAACGUAGGUCACAAGCGUUGUCCGGAAUUACUGGGUGUAAAGGGAGCGCAGGCGGGAAGACAAGUUGGAAGUGAAAUCCAUGGGCUCAACCCAUGAACUGCUUUCAAAACUGUUUUUCUUGAGUAGUGCAGAGGUAGGCGGAAUUCCCGGUGUAGCGGUGGAAUGCGUAGAUAUCGGGAGGAACACCAGUGGCGAAGGCGGCCUACUGGGCACCAACUGACGCUGAGGCUCGAAAGUGUGGGUAGCAAACAGGAUUAGAUACCCUGGUAGUCCACACCGUAAACGAUGAAUAGUAGGUGUUGGAGGAUUGACCCCUUCAGUG
rnacentral:rRNA from 1 species